rnacentral:rRNA from 1 species
UGGGGAAUAUUGCACAAUGGGCGCAAGCCUGAUGCAGCCAUGCCGCGUGUAUGAAGAAGGCCUUCGGGUUGUAAAGUACUUUCAGCGGGGAGGAAGGGAGUAAAGUUAAUACCUUUGCUCAUUGACGUUACCCGCAGAAGAAGCACCGGCUAACUCCGUGCCAGCAGCCGCGGUAAUACGGAGGGUGCAAGCGUUAAUCGGAAUUACUGGGCGUAAAGCGCACGCAGGCGGUUUGUUAAGUCAGAUGUGAAAUCCCCGGGCUCAACCUGGGAACUGCAUCUGAUACUGGCAAGCUUGAGUCUCGUAGAGGGGGGUAGAAUUCCAGGUGUAGCGGUGAAAUGCGUAGAGAUCUGGAGGAAUACCGGUGGCGAAGGUGGCCCCCUGGACGAAGACUGACGCUCAGGUGCGAAAGCGUGGGGAGCAAACA